AAAGGGGGCAGGGAUGGGUCGGACUCAGAGAGCAAGAAAGCAGGUUUGAAUGAGCCUGGUGGAGAGUGGGGGGAAAUAAAGUUUUUGCAGAGCAGGCAGAAGCAGGUGACAACCCUAUCACAGGCCUACUUCCAUCUUCUUGGCAUUUUCAGUGAAGCAACACAGAAAUGAGGCCUUAUUCGAAAAAAAGACGAGGAAUCAGAGAAAGAGAGAGGAAAAUGGAAUCCCUCAAACAGAUGCCAGAUUCCUAGGUGGUGAGAGAAAGGAAACCAAUGUGCAGCUUGCGAGAAGGAAGAUUUCACGGGGGGGAAUAAAUACUGAUCUCUUUAAUCAUAUUUCAUGUAUAGGGCUGCACUGCCUUGUCCCAUAA